rnacentral:lncRNA from 1 species
CUUUCGAAAGAGUUCAAAACACCUUCAGAAUGAAAGGUUUUCUCUUUGAACAGGGAAGAAACACUUCCAGCGUGCUUCAGUGGAGGGAAAUUCUCGCAGAGAUUGAGCUGUCUGGUCCCAUUGUAAGGCUGCUGGCGGCGACCCAUUGGUGGGAUUGACAUUGCAGUAAUUACCAGGCCCAUGGGCCCUCCGACCCUGCUCCACCACGAGACAUACUGGCAGCAGAUCUGAGGAUCACUGGCAUUAUCUCAGCACCAAAGACCUGAAGGCAAGUUGUCACCUGAACUGCAGGUUUCAUCUGGGAAGUGAGCAGGAGGUGAAGAGCCAGUAGGAGCCCACUGAUGAGCCUGAAGUCAAGAGGCCGCUGAGUGCCUGCUCUAUGCAUCCCCCCCAUAGGAAACCAACUGCCCUUGUUGAGGUGCUCUGAGCUGGAAGCAUGGACAGGGCUGCUGCAAAACGUGCAGGUAGAUGUUUUGUUUGGCUUAGGGACUGAACAGUUCUUGUCUCAGAUGCCAAAACAGUCUCAGGUCUCAGAGCACAGCAGUGUGAGAGACCUCACUCUGAAUAGUGCACUACAUGAAGACCCAUGGGCUUCCCUCCAAUACCCACUUCAUGACAGUGGCACACAAAAAAAAAUGGGUUCUUCUCUUUCGUCUGGAGAUAGACUAGUUUCAGUUCCUUUAACCUAAAGCAAUUGGAUAUGCCAGUUCUGGUGAAGACAGCCUCAGCCAGCUGUGUGGCUCCUUCCUCAUACUGCUGCUAUUGGUGAUAUGACUGUGAUCCUUGCAGAAGUUGACUAAAUCCCCAGUAUUUCUGAGACCUCGUGGCACUACCUGAUGUCUCCCCACCGUGGCUAUUUCUAUUUGGCUCUUCAUGUGUGGAAGAGGGCUCACAUGAACCACCUCAUCCUCCAGAAACCUACUUUCACAGUACAUGGCUGUGGUUGGGCAUGUAGCGUGAACUCUUGGGAAUCCUCUCCACAGCAAGGAUCCAUAUCUGAUGUGAUUUGGAUCAUACUUUUCCUGGAAAGUGGGAUCUGGCAAUGUAUCAUAAACACCUUAGCAGAUCUAGCUGUGCUUUGGAUGGCAGCUCCUUUUUGAGGAAUUAUCAUUAUGAGAAGAAAAAUGUUCUGAGAAUGUAGGUAAGCCCAGGAGUAGCUAAUAAAAAUGAGCCAACACCUGGAAGCA